GUAUUAAUGUGGCUUUUUAUUUACAAAUUUAAAAAAGGAAUUAACAUUUGUAUUCAAAUUGAUAUUUCAUUAACACCCUGGAUACAUUUGCGUUCUUUAAUUUUCGCAGUUUUACACUAAAUCAUACUCAUUUUAAGAUGAAAUGGUUUUAUGACGCGAGGUUUUCAUGGUCGUAAACAUUAUUAUGUUUAUUUUUAUAUUCUCUAUUACACUAUGUUCUCCGAGAAACGAUUCUUUUAAGUAUCCACGGACAUCAUUUUAAUAAUAUUAAAUUACUGAUGCCGAUUGCUAAAAAAAUAAAAAAAAGGAAGGGGCGAGUUUAGAGUAAUUAUGAUUUUUAUUAGCGGUUCUCUCAACGUUUUAAACGAGCGUAGAAUUAUUAGAACUUUAGAUAGGCGCU